AGAGUUUGAUCAUGGCUCAGGACGAACGCUGGCGGCGUGCCUAAUACAUGCAAGUCGAGCGCAGGAAGCCGUCUGAACCCUUCGGGGGGACGACGGUGGAAUGAGCGGCGGACGGGUGAGUAACACGUAAAGAACCUGCCCAUAGGUCUGGGAUAACCACGAGAAAUCGGGGCUAAUACCGGAUGUGUCAUCGGACCGCAUGGUCCGCUGAUGAAAGGCGCUCCGGCGUCGCCCAUGGAUGGCUUUGCGGUGCAUUAGCUAGUUGGUGGGGUAACGGCCCACCAAGGCGACGAUGCAUAGCCGACCUGAGAGGGUGAUCGGCCACACUGGGACUGAGACACGGCCCAGACUCCUACGGGAGGCAGCAGUAGGGAAUCUUCCACAAUGGACGAAAGUCUGAUGGAGCAACGCCGCGUGAACGAUGAAGGCUUUCGGGUCGUAAAGUUCUGUUGUAAGGGAAGAACAAGUGCCGCAGGCAAUGGCGGCACCUUGACGGUACCUUGCGAGAAAGCCACGGCUAACUACGUGCCAGCAGCCGCGGUAAUACGUAGGUGGCAAGCGUUGUCCGGAAUUAUUGGGCGUAAAGCGCGCGCAGGCGGCCUCUUAAGUCUGAUGUGAAAGCCCCCGGCUCAACCCGGGGAGGGCCAUUGGAAACUGGGAGGCUUGAGUAUAGGAGAAGAAGAAGUGGAAUUCCACGUGUAGCGUGAAAUGCGUAAAGAUGUGAGACACCAGUGGGCGAAGGCGACUCCUUUGGCCUAUAACUGACGCUGAGGGCGGCGAAGCGUGGGGGAAGCAAACAGGAUAGAAUACCUGGUAGUCCACGCCGUAAACGAAUGAGAUGCUAGGUUUUGGAGGGAUUCCGCCCCUUCAAUGGCUGGAGCUACGCAUAGAGACACUCCGCCUUGGGGAUACCGUUCCAAGUCCUUGAACUCAGGAUUUGACCGGGACUGCCAACAGGGUGGAACAUUGGGAUUAAUUCGGAAGCAACGCGAAGAACCUUACCAACUCUUGACAUCCCCCUGACCGGUACAGAGAUGUACCUUCCCCUUCGGGGGCAGGGGUGACAGGUGGUGCAUGGUUGUCGUCAGCUCGUGUCGUGAGAUGUUGGGUUAAGUCCCGCAACGAGCGCAACCCUUGUCCUUAGUUGCCAGCAUUUGGUUGGGCACUCUAGGGAGACUGCCGGUGACAAACCGGAGGAAGGUGGGGAUGACGUCAAAUCAUCAUGCCCCUUAUGAGUUGGGCUACACACGUGCUACAAUGGACGGUACAAAGGGCAGCGAAGCCGCGAGGUGGAGCCAAUCCCAGAAAGCCGUUCUCAGUUCGGAUUGCAGGCUGCAACUCGCCUGCAUGAAGUCGGAAUCGCUAGUAAUCGCAGGUCAGCAUACUGCGGUGAAUACGUUCCCGGGUCUUGUACACACCGCCCGUCACACCACGAGAGUUUGCAACACCCGAAGUCGGUGAGGUAACCGUAAGGAGCCAGCCGCCGAAGGUGGGGCAGAUGAUUGGGGUGAAGUCGUAACAAGGUAACCGUA
rnacentral:rRNA from 1 species